rnacentral:rRNA from 1 species
AUGGAGUUGGUUGAGCUACGCACAACAUCUUUGGCUGAGGCAAUGUUUGACAAGCUUGGGCUCCCAAAAACAGUCUACUAUGUGCGUUUGCUUGAGCAAGGUGGAUAUAGAUCACAGAUUGAAUUUCACCGCACAAAAGAGCGUUAUGAUGCUUCAGCGCCCCGCACUAAAUUGUUCAGCCAUAUAUGUGUAAGCGGGGAGGCAGCAAUGGACCAUGCAGCUAACCUAGCCAUUGGAUACAUGGAAAGCUAUGGAAGAAAGGUUCUUGUUGAUUAUAACUACCAUCGGCUGCAGCAAGAAAAACAAGCUUACGCAAAACUUUCAGACAGGUUGUCAGAAACAACAGAAGAAAUCAAUCAGCGCAAUCAAACCAUCAAACAGGUGACUAGAGAAGCAUCCAAUUAUCUAGAAGAAGUGCAUGUUGCAUCAAACAAAAUCCACACCCUUGCUGAUGCUGCCUUAGACCCUGCUGCCGGCCUCUCUCUUUCCACUCUAAAACAAGCUAUUCUACAAAUUCAAAAUGCAACUGUUGCUCUCCAGAGCACUACAGCCGCUGCACGUAUUUCACGAGGAAAAGGGCAUAUACUCAGAGGAUAA